rnacentral:rRNA from 1 species
AAUGGGCGCAAGCCUGAUCCAGCCAUGCCGCGUGAAUGAAGAAGGCCUUAGGGUUGUAAAGUUCUUUCACUAGGGAAGAUAAUGACGGUACCUAGACAAGAAGCCCCGGCUAAUUUCGUGCCAGCAGCCGCGGUAAUACGAAAGGGGCUAGCGUUGUUCGGAAUUACUGGGCGUAAAGCGCGCGUAGGCGGCACUGUAAGUUGGGGGUGAAAUCCCGGGGCUCAACCCCGGAACUGCCUCCAAAACUACAGAGCUAGAGGAUGUGAGAGGAUAGUGGAAUUCCGAGUGUAGAGGUGAAAUUCGUAGAUAUUCGGAAGAACACCAGUGGCGAAGGCGACUGUCUGGCACAUUUCUGACGCUGAGGUGCGAAAGCGUGGGGAGCAAACAGGAUU